UGGGAUUCCUCAUCAAGUAGGUUGCCAG
rnacentral:piRNA from 1 species